AACGAACGCUGGCGGCAGGCUUAACACAUGCAAGUCGAGCGCCCCGCAAGGGGAGCGGCAGACGGGUGAGUAACGCGUGGGAAUCUACCCAUCUCUACGGAAUAACGCAUGGAAACGUGUGCUAAUACCGUAUACGUCCUUCGGGAGAAAGAUUUAUCGGAGAUGGAUGAGCCCGCGUUGGAUUAGCUAGUUGGUGGGUAAAGGCCUACCAAGGCGACGAUCCAUAGCUGGUCUGAGAGGAUGAUCAGCCACACUGGGACUGAGACACGGCCCAGACUCCUACGGGAGGCAGCAGUGGGGAAUAUUGGACAAGGGGCGCAAGCCUGAUCCAGCCAUGCCGCGUGAGUGAUGAAGGCCCUAGGGUUGUAAAGCUCUUUCACCGGCGAAGAUAAUGACGGUAACCGGAGAAGAAGCCCCGGCUAACUUCGUGCCAGCCGCCGCAGUAAUAC
rnacentral:rRNA from 1 species